GACGAACGCUGGCGGCGUGCCUAAUACAUGCAAGUUGAGCGCUGAAGGUUGGUACUUGUACCAACUGGAUGAGCAGCGAACGGGUGAGUAACGCGUGGGGAAUCUGCCUUUGAGCGGGGGACAACAUUUGGAAACGAAUGCUAAUACCGCAUAAAAACUUUAAACACAAGUUUUAAGUUUGAAAGAUGCAAUUGCAUCACUCAAAGAUGAUCCCGCGUUGUAUUAGCUAGUUGGUGAGGUAAAGGCUCACCAAGGCGAUGAUACAUAGCCGACCUGAGAGGGUGAUCGGCCACCUUGGGACUGAGACACGGCCCAAACUCCUACGGGAGGCAGCAGUAGGGAAUCUUCGGCAAUGGACGAAAGUCUGACCGAGCAACGCCGCGUGAGUGAAGAAGGUUUUCGGAUCGUAAAACUCUGUUGGUAGAGAAGAACGUUGGCGAGAGUGGAAAGCUCAUCAAGUGACGGUAACUACCCAGAAAGGGACGGCUAACUACGUG
rnacentral:rRNA from 1 species